GGGCCGUUAGCUCAGUUGGUAGAGCAGUGGACUUUUAAUCCGCGUGUCAUGCGUUCGAUUCGCAUACGGCCCACAA
rnacentral:tRNA from 1 species